rnacentral:misc_RNA from 1 species
AGCAGCCGCGGUAAUUCCAGCUCCAAUAGCGUAUAUUAAAGUUGUUGCAGUUAAAAAGCUCGUAGUUGAAUUUCGGGAUUGACGUGAUGGUCGUGCCUUAAGGGGUAUGAACUGUUGCUGUUGAUUUCUCACCUUCUGGAGAAACUUGAUGUCCUUAAUUGGGUGUCUUGCGGAUCCAGGACCUUUACCUUGAAAAAAUUUAGAGUGUUUAAAGCAGGCAUUUUGCUCGAAUACAUUAGCAUGGAAUAAUAGAAUAGGACGGCAUGGUUCUAUUUUGUUGGUUUCUAGGAUCACCGUAAUGAUUAAUAGGGAUAGUUGGGGGGCAUUAGUAUUCAAUUGUCAGAGGUGAAAUUCUUGGAUUUAUUGAAGACUAACUACUGCGAAAGCAUUUGCCAAGGAUGUUUUCAUUAAUCAAGAACGAAAGUUAGGGGAUCGAAGACGAUCAGAUACCGUCGUAGUCUUAACCAUAAACUAUGCCGACUAGGAAUCAGACGAUGUUAAUUUUUUUCAAUGACUCGUU